AGCUCCAAUAGCGUAUAUUAAAGUUGUUGCAGUUAAAAAGCUCGUAGUUGAAUUUCUGGUCAUUUUUAAUGCCGGCCUCGGUCGCGUUAAGGUUGGCCAUCCGUUUGCAAGCUACUCUCGGCCUUCACUGGUUCGGAGUAGUGAGCUGACAUUUUACUUUGAAAAAAUUAGAGUGUUUCAGGCAGGCGCAUGCCCGAAUAUACUAGCAUGGAAUAAUGGAAUCGGACUUUGGUCCAUUUGGUUGGUUAUUGGAUCUGAGUAAUGGUUAAUAGGGACAGUUGGGGGCAUUAGUAUUUAAUAGUCAGAGGUGAAAUGCUUGGACCGUCUGAAGACUAACUACUGCGAAAGCAUUUGCCAAGAGUGUGU
rnacentral:rRNA from 1 species